rnacentral:rRNA from 1 species
UACGUAUGGUGCAAGCGUUAUCCGGAUUUACUGGGUGUAAAGGGAGCGCAGGCGGCACGGCAAGCCAGAUGUGAAAGCCCGGGGCUCAACCCCGGGACUGCAUUUGGAACUGUAUAGCUAGAGUGUCGGAGAGGCAGGCGGAAUUCCUAGUGUAGCGGUGAAAUGCGUAGAUAUUAGGAGGAACACCAGUGGCGAAGGCGGCCUGCUGGACGAUGACUGACGUUGAGGCUCGAAAGCGUGGGGAGCAAACAGG